rnacentral:snoRNA from 1 species
ACCAUCCAGAUUCCUUCUGCCUCAGAUCUCAACAUUUUGUCUGGGUGGCUGACAAAGGGAGGAAAGGUAAACUGAAGUGAGCUUGGAGACUUUGGUGACAGACAGGUUCAUUUCAAACAUAC